rnacentral:rRNA from 1 species
AUUGAACGCUGGCGGCAGGCUUAACACAUGCAAGUCGAGCGGAGAGAGGUAGCUUGCUACUGAUCUUAGCGGCGGACGGGUGAGUAAUGCUUAGGAAUCUGCCUAUUAGUGGGGGACAACAUUUCGAAAGGAAUGCUAAUACCGCAUACGUCCUACGGGAGAAAGCAGGGGAUCUUCGGACCUUGCGCUAAUAGAUGAGCCUAAGUCGGAUUAGCUAGUUGGUGGGGUAAAGGCCUACCAAGGCGACGAUCUGUAGCGGAUCUGAGAGGAUGAUCCGCCAAGCUGGGACUGAGACACGGACCAGACUCCUGCGGGAGGCAGCAGUGGGGAAUAUUGGACAAGGGGCGGAAGCCUGAUCCAGCCAUGCCGCGUGUGUGAAGAAGGCCUUUUGGUUGUAAAGCACUUUAAGCGAGGAGGAGGCUCUUAAGGUUAAUACCCUUGAUGAGUGGACGUUACUCGCAGAAUAAGCACCGGCUAACUCUGUGCCAGCCGCCGCCGUAAAAC